rnacentral:rRNA from 1 species
CUACGGGAGGCAGCAGUAAGGAAUAUUGGUCAAUGGACGCAAGUCUGAACCAGCCAUGCCGCGUGGAGGAUGAAGGUCCUCUGGAUUGUAAACUUCUUUUCUCUGGGGCGAAAAAAGGGCUUUCUAGCUCACUUGACAGUACCAGAGGAAUAAGCACCGGCUAACUCCGUGCCAGCAGCCGCGGUAAUACGGAGGGUGCAAGCGUUAUCCGGAUUCACUGGGUUUAAAGGGUGCGUAGGAGGGCAGGUAAGUCAGUGGUGAAAUCCCCGAGCUUAACUUGGGAACUGCCGUUGAUACUAUCUGUCUUGAAUGUUGUGGAGGUGAGCGGAAUAUGUCAUGUAGCGGUGAAAUGCUUAGAUAUGACAUAGAACACCAAUUGCGAAGGCAGCUCGCUACACAAUUAUUGACUCUGAUGCACGAAAGCGUGGGGAUCAAACAGGAUUAGAUACCCCGGU